UACGUAGGGGGCUAGCGUUGUCCGGAAUCAUUGGGCGUAAAGCGCGCGUAGGCGGCCAGAUAAGUCCGGUGUGAAAGUCACAGGCUCAACCUGUGAAUGCCGCUGGAAACUGUCUGGCUAGAGUCCGGAAGGGGCGAGUGGAAUUCCUGGUGUAGCGGUGAAAUGCGCAGAUAUCAGGAGGAACACCGGUGGCGAAGGCGGGUCUCUGGGCCGUAACUGACGCUGAGGAGCGAAAGCGUGGGGAGCGAACAGG
rnacentral:rRNA from 1 species